CCUGUGCCUGCUCCUCUGUCAACUCCCCGUUUAUACUCUCUCUUCUUCUCUCUGUCUCUGUCCUUGUUGCCUGUCUCACUUCUGUCCAGGUGUUUGAAAGCAGCAGCAGCAGCAGCAGCGUAGAAUACAACAUUAAGAAAAACAAGAUCAAACAUCACAUCCUCGUGAGAGAUGGAAGAAAAGAAGGGAGGAGAAAAGGAAGGAGGGGAGAAUGGAAGCUGAGAGAGACUUAUGUCACCACACUUGAGGAGGACAGCAGCCUUAUAACACAAAGUCUUGCCACGUGUAACCGCAGGCUCCGGGUGAAAUGAGUCCCUGUGCAGGUUUUGUCUUCCUGAGGAUCUCCGGGGCUCUGCGGGGUCAGCCGAGGCCCUUCCUCCAAACUCUCAUCUGGGCUCUCCACUGUCAACCCUGACACCUCAUCCAGGAUGUCUUCUACAGGGACAAAGG